UACAGAGGUCCCAAGCGUUGUUCGGAUUCACUGGGCGUAAAGGGUGCGUAGGUGGUGAGGUAAGUCGGAUGUGAAAGCUCGGAGCUCAACUCCGAAAUGGCAUUGGAAACUACCUUGCUCGAGGGAUGGAGGGGGGACUGGAAUUCUCGGUGUAGCAGUGAAAUGCGCAGAUAUCGGGAAGAACACCCGUGGCGAAGGCGGCUCUCUG
rnacentral:rRNA from 1 species